rnacentral:antisense_RNA from 1 species
CAUAGGCCACCUUGCCGGGCUUCACCUCCCCCAGCAGAGGAAGCGGAGGAAGCAGAGGAAGCAGAGGAAGUGGUGGCGUCGGCGGCGGCGGCGGCAGCCGGAGCGAGCAGUAGCCGAGCUGUAAUGUCUUACAAUAACAGAAUGCAGGAGAGCACAUAUCAAUGAAGAAAAGACAAAAUGUACUUAUCCAUGAAGCUGAGGUUAAGAAACCAGUGUCUUCAAGAGCCAGGGACAGCACUGGGUCUGUGCAGAGUUGAGAGAUGGUGAUGACAUGCCUACAGCACAGCUGAUGAAAGAGAAGCCAUCUUGCUGCUAUUUGAGAAGCAAGAAGAUAAAAGCUUUCCUAUAAAGAUGAUGGAGCAAAAAGAUAGAAGGGGCCUAGACUCCCUACCUUCACACUUCCUGCUAUAAAAGCAUUGCUAUUAUAAGGUUAAUCUGCAGAAACAGACUUCUAUGUCAUAUGCUUAAAUGCAUCAAAAUUCAUACAAUAUCCAUUAAAUUGGUAAAAGUAUCCAUUUUAAAGGAUUAAUCUGAGGGACCCACAGACACUUAACACAAUCAAAUCUCAGAAAAAAAAUCAGUUAUUUCAUUGUGAUUUUGAGGCUGAUCUUUUAUGAUCUUUUAGUUAUCAAACUGUUAAAUACAUUUUAACUUUCAAAUUUUAUGAAUAAAGGAGAUGAAUCCUGUU